UUACCAUGUGGACAGUGGUCAGGUGGAUCAAGGAUAAUCCAGUAUCUACAUAUCAAAAAUACCUACUGUUGGUUUGCAAGCCAAAAACAUCUUCAUGGAAUCAUUGCAUACUGUGAGGUCACAAUGGGGGCCCCAACCAUGUCAUCAACAAGCAGAGAAGGUAAAGUGAUUUCUGGCUGACAAGAUGGUAGAAGUGGCAACUCCCUGGAGGAUAAGCACUGGUUCUGAUAUGCUGUUAACCUGACUGAUCAUCUGGACUUCUUUGCUGGUAUAUGUGCUGCUGCCAUGGUGCACCCACGGCAGCUGUGAAGUUCCAGUCUGCUCAAAGAUGAUCUAUCUUCUGCUGUGAGAUAGCAGCAAGCUGCAGCUAAAAUUCAACUUUGGACAGAAGCAACACUGAUUUACAUUCAAUACCAUUUCUGAGGUGUUCCAAAAUCUGAAAUUCCAAUGCAUCUGGUCCCAAAUGUUGUCUGAAACAGGAACUCCAAAUGAGAUGAGGUCCAAGCAUGAUCACAAGUUACCCUGCUCAACUGAAAAGUCCAAGGAAAAUGACCCACUCCCAUCUCUCCCAAAGUAGACUUCUUCCUUGAAACCUUAAGCCAAUCAAGUUGGAAAUGUCACGUAUUGUUCUAUAUUUCCCUUUGCCAGCAAUGCCAACAAGCAUCGUUUACCAAAUUAAUUUCAUCCUGUAACUGAUGUGCUCCCUGGGGGCAGAAAGGGACAGCACAGAUACAGGAGAUGGACUCCAGAAUAUUUCCAAAAAGAACUGUAUUAAGUUUCCUGCCAUACCAUGCACCAAUCACAAACUGUAAAUGAAUGCACUUUUAAAAAAAUCUACAUAUUAAUUAAAUGAAUGCACCUUUGAACCAAUAAGAUUGUGGAUUGUUAUUUACACCAAUCACAGCAAAUGUCAAUUCUUUCAAAUGACUGUAAAAUGUCUAUAGAAUGUCCAUGCUUGCAAGUGUGAUUUAUGUCAGAUUUUGAAGAAUUCUCCUGAUAUCUUGCCUUGGACAACAACUCAAUAAAACGGCUUCUGAUCCUGC